rnacentral:rRNA from 1 species
AAGGAGUGUGUAACAACUCACCUGCCGAAUGGACUAGCCCUGAAAAUGGAUGGCGCUGAAGCGGGUCACUUAUACUCCACCACUGGCGCAAAGGCUUGGCGCCAGUGAGUAGGAGGGCGUGAAGGUUGUCGUGCAGCUCGUGGCGCGAGCCAGAGUGAAACGGCCUUUAGUGCAGAUCUUGGUGGUAGUAGCAAAUAUUCAAAUGAGAACUUUGAAGGCCGAAGUGGAGAAAGGUUCCAUGUGAACAGCAGUUGGACAUGGGUUAGUCGAUCCUAAGAGAUAGGAGAGCUCCGUUAGCAGGCGCGACUUUUUCGGAAGUCGCCGCUUAUCGAAAGGGAAGCGGGUUAAUAUUCCCGCACCAGGACGUGGAUACUGAGUGGCAACACAAGCGAAGCCGGAGACGUCGGCAGGAAUCCCGGGAAGAGUUCUCUUUUCUUGUUAACAGUCUGGCACACCCUGGAAUCGGAUUAACCGGCGAUAGGGUAUGGCGGCUGGGAAAGCAGUUUAAUCUUUGAACUGUCCGGUGCAUUCCUGACGGCCCUUGAAAAUCCGGUGGCGUGACUUAUUCGCACCCCUGGUCGUACUCAUAACCGCCUCAGGUCUCCAAGGUGUGCAGCCUCUGGCCGAUAGAAGAAUGUAGGUAAGGGAAGUCGGCAAAAUAGAUCCGUAACCUCGGGAAAAUGAUUGGCUCUGAGGGUUGGGCUUGUGGG